rnacentral:rRNA from 1 species
AUUGAACGCUGGCGGCAUGCUUUACACAUGCAAGUCGAACGGUAACAGGCCGCAAGGUGCUGACGAGUGGCGAACGGGUGAGUAAUGCAUCGGAACGUGCCCAGUCGUGGGGGAUAACUACCCGAAAGAGUAGCUAAUACCGCAUACGAUCUAUGGAUGAAAGCGGGGGACCGUAAGGCCUCGCGCGAUUGGAGCGGCCGAUGUCAGAUUAGGUAGUUGGUGGGGUAAAGGCUCACCAAGCCAACGAUCUGUAGCUGGUCUGAGAGGACAACCAGCCACACUGGGACUGAGACACGGCCCAGACUCCUACGGGAGGCAGCAGUGGGGAAUUUUGGACAAUGGGCGCAAGCCUGAUCCAGCAAUGCCGCGUGCAGGAAGAAGGCCUUCGGGUUGUAAACUGCUUUUGUACGGAACGAAACGGCUCUGGUUAAUACCCGGGGCUAAUGACGGUACCGUAAGAAUAAGCACCGGCUAACUACGUG